GAUGAACGCUGGCGGCGUGCCUAAUACAUGCAAGUCGAGCGAACAGACGAGGAGCUUGCUCCUCUGACGUUAGCGGCGGACGGGUGAGUAACACGUGGAUAACCUACCUAUAAGACUGGGAUAACUUCGGGAAACCGGAGCUACUGCCGGAUAAUAUAUUGAACCGCAUGGUUCAAUAGUGAAAGACGGUUUUGCUGUCACUUAUAGAUGGAUCCGCGCCGCAUUAGCUAGUUGGUAAGGUAACGGCUUACCAAGGCAACGAUGCGUAGCCGACCUGAGAGGGUGAACGGCCAAACUGGGACUGAGGCACGGUCCAGACUCCUACGGGAGGGAGGAGGAGGGGAUCUUCCGCAAUGGGCGAAAACUUUACGGAGCAACGCCGCGUGAGUGAUGAAGGUCUUCGGAUCGUAAAACUCUGUUAGUAGGGAAGAACAAAUGGGUAAGUAACUAUGCACGGCUUGACGGUACCUAAUCAGAAAGGCACGGCUAACUACGUG
rnacentral:rRNA from 1 species